GGCAAUCAAGUUCCAUGCAUAAUGAGCAGUUUAAAACCACGAAGGAGAAAGGGUGACAGACACAAGGAUUGUGGCAGACAGGCCCCGUUGUUGAUUGAAUAUGUGAAUGCAGACCCAUGGAUACAUAGAGCCUACUCUGGAUGUGUAUAUGUAGAUCGUGUAUAUUCAAGAAGUAAAAUCAAAGAUAAUUCACAAAAGCCAAAGCUAAAUAUUGUCCCUGAAGGGAGAAGAGGGUUCUACUUAACUCUUCACAACCAGCAUGAAGGAGGCUGGAGAGAAGGAAAGAAGGCUGAAAGGAAGGAUCUAGACCCCUGAGGAGCCUGAGGACAUGGUAAAACAAUAAAGGACUUCUCCAGGCAAAGUAGUCA